rnacentral:rRNA from 1 species
UGGGGAAUAUUGGACAAUGGGGGCAACCCUGAUCCAGCCAUGCCGCGUGAGUGAUGAAGGCCUUCGGGUUGUAAAGCUCUUUUGGCGGGGACGAUGAUGACGGUACCCGCAGAAUAAGCCCCGGCUAACUUCGUGCCAGCAGCCGCGGUAAGACGAAGGGGGCUAGCGUUGUUCGGAAUUACUGGGCGUAAAGCGAGUGUAGGCGGUUGCCGUAGUCAGGUGUGAAAGCCUUGAGCUCAACUCAAGAAAUGCACUUGAUACUGGGUGACUAGAGGACCGGAGAGGAUAGUGGAAUUCCCAGUGUAGUGGUGAAAUACGUAGAGAUUGGGAAGAACACCAGUGGCGAAGGCGGCUAUCUGGACGGUUACUGACGCUAAGACUCGAAAGCGUGGGGAGCAAACAGGAUUAGAUACCCUGGUAGUCCACG